GCAGCGGCAGGGAGCAAGGGUUUUCAGGCUGCUUCAUUCUCCUGCUGAGCUCCAGGGUGCGUGGGUGCCUGUCCCCCCACCAGCCUACCUUUCCACCUCUACUGUGUCAUCCCUCUUCCCCCCACACCGAGUGGGAAAUCCAGUCAACAGCAAUGUGUGAUAAGACAGAAAUCUCCAUGGAGACUGGAAAAGCUUCUCCACAUAAGCACACAUUUUGGUUGGGGGAAAACAGGGACUGUUAUUUUUAUCUGAACAGCAUGUGCUUUUGUAAAAUGAUAAGGAAACUGAGCCACAAAGAAGUUGACUUUGCUUGUUUAUGCUGUUUCACAUGCCUGGAUUACCUUUCCACUAUCCUUCUAAUCAUUCCUGAAGAUUUACACAGAGAAGGAAAGACAGAGAGAGACACAAGUUUUCCAUCACUGGUUCACUCCCCAAAUGGCCACAACAGCUGGAGCUGAUCCAAUCCGAAGCCAGGAGCCAGGAGCUUCUUCUUGGUCUCCCAUGUGAGUGCAGAGGCCCAAGGAUUUGGGCCAUCCUCCAUUGCUUUUCCAGGUCAUAAGCAGGAAGACAGAUUGGAAGUGAAGCAGCCAGGACAUGAAACAGCAUCCAUACAGGAUACCAGCACUACAGGCUGAACAGCUUUUAUCCAUCAUGCCACAGUGCCAAUUCCCAGAAAGCUCUUU